GUAGCCUGAUAUUGAAAUUCGGCACAGCUUGUACAGGAUAGGUAGGAGCCUUUGAAACGUGAGCGCUAGCUUACGUGGAGGCGCUGGUGGGAUACUACCCUAGCUGUGUUGGCUUUCUAACCCGCACUACUUAUCGUGGUGGGAGACAGUGUCAGGCGGGCAGUUUGACUGGGGCGGUCGCCUCCUAAAAGGUAACGGAGGCGCUCAAAGGUUCCCUCAGAAUGGUUGGAAAUCAUUCAUAGAGUGUAAAGGCAUAAGGGAGCUUGACUGCGAGACCUACAAGUCGAGCAGGGUCGAAAGACGGACUUAGUGAUCCGGUG
rnacentral:rRNA from 1 species